AUAACAUCCGGAAACGGGUGCUAAUACCGCAUAGUUUUCUUGAUCGCAUGAUUGAGAAAGGAAAGACGGCCUUUGUGCUGUCGCUUAUGGAUGGACCCGCGGCGUAUUAGUUAGUUGGUGAGGUAACGGCUCACCAAGACGAUGAUACGUAGCCGACCUGAGAGGGUGAUCGGCCACAUUGGGACUGAGACACGGCCCAAACUCCUACGGGAGGCAGCAGUAGGGAAUCUUCCGCAAUGGACGAAAGUCUGACGGAGCAACGCCGCGUGAGUGAAGAAAAGGUUUUCGGAUCGUAAAACUCUGUUGUCAGAGAAGAACAAGUUGGAGAGUAACUGCUCCAGCCUUGACGGUAUCUGACCAGAAAGCCACGGCUAACUACGUGCCAGCCGCCGC
rnacentral:rRNA from 1 species